rnacentral:rRNA from 1 species
CAGUCGCCACGGGAAUACGGAGGGUGCAAGCGUUAUCCGGAUUUAUUGGGUUUAAAGGGUCCGUAGGCGGAUCUGUAAGUCAGUGGUGAAAUCUCACAGCUUAACUGUGAAACUGCCAUUGAUACUGCAGGUCUUGAGUAAAUUUGAAGUGGCUAAAAUAAGUAGUGUAGCGGUGAAAUGCAUAGAUAUUACUUAGAACACCAAUUGCGAAGGCAGGUCACUAAGAUUUAACUGACGCUGAUGGACGAAAUCGUGGGGAGCGAACAGGAUUAGAUACCCCCGUAGUCCCUGUCUCUUUACA